rnacentral:rRNA from 1 species
GUAGGGGGCUAGCGUUGUCCGGAAUCAUUGGGCGUAAAGAGCGCGUAGGCGGCCAGAUAAGUCCGGUGUGAAAGUCACAGGCUCAACCUGUGAAUGCCGCUGGAAACUGUCUGGCUAGAGCCCGGAAGGGGCGAGUGGAAUUCCUGGUGUAGCGGUGAAAUGCGCAGAUAUCAGGAGGAACACCAAUGGCGAAGGCAGCUCGCUGGGACGGUACUGACGCUGAGGCGCGAAAGCGUGGGGAGCAAACAGGAUUAGAUACCCUGGUAGUCCACGCCGUAAACGAUGGGCACUAGGUGUCGGAGGUGUCGACUCCUCCGGUGCCGAAGCUAACGCAUUAAGUGCCCCGCCUGGGGAGUACGGCCGCAAGGCUA